UACGUAGGGUGCAAGCGUUAUCCGGAAUUAUUGGGCGUAAAGAGCUCGUAGGCGGUUUGUCGCGUCUGCUGUGAAAACUGGGGGCUCAACUCCCAGCCUGCAGUGGGUACGGGCAGACUAGAGUGCGGUAGGGGAGAUUGGAAUUCCUGGUGUAGCGGUGGAAUGCGCAGAUAUCAGGAGGAACACCGAUGGCGAAGGCAGAUCUCUGGGCCGUAACUGACGCUGAGGAGCGAAAGCAUGGGGAGCGAACGGG
rnacentral:rRNA from 1 species